GGAGAGGUACCGAAGCGGCCAAACGGGGCAGACUGUAAAUCUGCUGGCUUUAGCCUUCGGAGGUUCGAAUCCUCCCCUCUCCACCA
rnacentral:tRNA from 1 species